AACGGGGAAAAGAAACUUGUAAUGAAUUGUGCCAAAAUGAUUGUUCAUAUUGCAAAAUAAUUCUAAGAUAUUAAUUGAAUAGAAUGUAUUAAGUGCAUCUAAAAGAAAGGGAUAUGGGGACACCUACAGGUGACUAAGGUAACCUAUUAGUGGAGUCGGCCAUUUUCUCUUCAGUCGCAUGAAAGCUGUUGAGGAGAAUGUUAUGAGACCGGAUGAGCUGUAUUUCAUGUCUGUUUGGUGUCAUUUCAUAUAUUCCAGUAAACGUGAUGAGUGAGCUCAGCCUACGUCUCGGUGUUGUCCUUUCCGGAUGGGUUAAAAGAAAGAACCAGAAAGCGGGGUUACAUGAACACUUAUAAGGUUUCUCUCCAGUAUGGAUGUUUAUUUGUAUCUUAAGGCUUGAUGAUUGAGUGAAACUCUUCCCGCACUGAUCACAAGUGAACAGUUUCUCUCCAGUAUGAACUCUCAUGUGACACUCAAGACUUGUUUUGCUUGUCAAACUCAUUCCACACUGAGUGCAGGUGAAAGAUUUCUUGGCUCAUAUUUUCUUUAAAUCUUUCUGUUUGGUUUG